GGGGCCGGGCUGCGGAGUGCGGGCGGGGCUUGAGGGCCAGAGCGUGGUGAGCGGUCCCGACUCCCCUGCCUCUCCGCGGGUUGCUGGGACGUGCGGACCCGGCGCGGAACCUAGAUCGAUAGGGCGAGCCGGAGGAGGUCAAACACCAGAGCCACGUGCCCUCCUCCUACGUCCCCCUGCCCUCUCGUGCGCUUUGCUCUGCGGCGGAUCCCGGGUCUCUGGAGAGUCGGGCUCGGGCUCUGCGGUUCCCAGGCUGGACUGGCCGCCCUGUUGCUAAAGUACUGAGAAGGAAGGCAUAAGGGCCACGUGUUAUGAAAUUACUUUGAGACAAGAAGCUUUGAAAGAUGGUUUCCACAGGAUGAAGAAAUGUGUAUUGGAAGACAACAGAGGUGAAUGACUUCAUAAAGAUUCACAAAUAUAUCCAACAUCUUCUGAUUAAUAGAUUGAAUGUGAUCUUGGAGGGAGGUCCUGAAGGGUCUCUGUCUUUUUAAAAUACAUAUGCUUUUUCUGAUUAUAAAAGUAUUACCUAUUUAUAAAUACGUGUAUAGUGUCCAGGAGAAAAUAGAUUAUAGAUAUAUUCUGCUUUUAUAGAAAAUAUAUCUAUAUGGCUAAUGAUGUGGGCCUUAGAGUAAAACUAUGAUCAUUUGAAUCUUGGCUAGAUAAGUUACUUAGCCUCUCAGUGCCUUGCUUAUAUAAUUCCAAGGAAUUAUAAUAGAAUUAUUUCGUAGUUUAAAAAAAUCAACUUCAUUGAGUUUUGACACAUGUAUACACUCAUGUAACCACAACCAGACCAGUUUCAAAAUAUAGAACAUUUCUAUCCUAAAAAAUACCUGUGUGCUGCUUCCCAUUAUUCUUUCUCACAUACCCGCUCACAGCCAACCACUUGUCUGUUUUCUGUCACUGUAUAGGUUUUCUAGACUUUUAUAUAAAUGAAAUCAUACAGUAUAUGCUUUUUUAUAUCUGGCUUCUUUCACUCAGUGUUAUGUCAGUGAGAUUCAUACAUGUUCUAUAUAGAAGUAGUUUGUUCUUUUUUGUUGCUAAGUGCUGAAAUGUGUUUAUCCAUUCACAUAUCAAUGGCAUGGAGUAGUUUCCAGUUUGGGGCUGUUAUUAUAAAGCAAGCUGCCGUGAACAUUUGUGUACAUGUCUUUGUGUGGGCCUGUUUCCAUUUCUCUUGGGUAGAUAUUGAUGAGAGGAAUUUCUGAGUAUAUGAUAGGUAUAUGUUGAACCUUUUAAGAAACUGUCAAACUGUUUUCCAAAGUGGUUAUACCAUUUUACAUUUCACCAGCAGCAUGUGAGAAUUCUUUUUCCCAUUUCUUCAGCAACACUGGAUAUGAUUAGUCUUAGACAUUCCGGUGGCUGUGUAGUGGCAUUUCAUUGUAGUUUUAAUUGGCAUUUCGUUGAUGACUAAUAAUGUUGAGCAUCUUUCCACGAUGCUUAUCGUGUAUCUUCCUUUAGGAAGUGUUUGCUUAAAUGAAAACACCCAUUUUAAGUUGGGUUGUUUAUUAUCUUAUUAAGUUGUAAGCAUUCUUCAUAUAUAUAUUUUUGAUAUAAGUCCUUUGGCAGAUGUAUGCAUUGAGAAUAUUUUCUCCCUGUUUAUGGCUUGCCAUUUCAUUUUCUUAGACAGGGUCCCACUCUUACCCAGGCUGGAAUGCAGUGGCACAAUAAUUGCUCACUGCAGGGUGGAACUCCUGGGCUCAAGUGAUCUUCCUGCCUCAGCCUCCUCAGUAGAUGGGACAACAGGUGCAUACUAUCAUGCCCAGCUACAGUUUUUACAUUUUUAAAGAUUAAAAAACAAAAGUGCCCCAGGUAUGGUGUUGCACAUCUGUAAUCCUAGCACUUUGGUAGGUUGAGGUGGGUGGGUCCCUUGAGCCCAGGAGUAUGAGACCAGCCUGGGUGACAUGGUGAAACUCCAUUUCUACAAAAAAAAAACCAAAAAACAAAAAUUAGCCUGACAUGGUGACAUGCACCUGUAGUCUUAGCUACUCAGGAGGCUGAAGUGAGCAGAUCACUCAAGUCCAGGAGAUUGAGGUUCCAGUGAGCCAAGAUCAUGCCACUGCACGACAGCUUGGGCAACAGAGUGAGACCCUUUCUCAAAAAAGAAAACCAAAGCAAAGAAAAAUGCAACAGAGUAUAUGUGGCUUGCAAAGCCUAAAAUAUUUACUGUCAGGCUCUUUACAGAAAAAGUUUUCCAACUCCUGAUCUAUAUGACCAUCUUGGUAACUAUCUUGACCAUCAGAAAGUAUGAAUCCACCAACUUUGUUUUUUUUUUCCCCCCAAAGAAUUGUUCUGGUUAUUCUAGAUUUUUUGCAUUUCCAUGUAAAUUUUUAAAUCAGGUUAAUGAUUGCUUCAAAAAAGCUUCAUGAAAUUUUGAUUGAGAUUGUUGAAACGCUAGAUCAAUUUGGAGAUAAUUGAUAUGUUAACAUUAAUUAAUGAAUGUUUUAAUCCGUGAAUAUGGCAUCUUCAUUUAUUUAGAUUUUUUUUUUUCAGCUUAUCUUAACCAUGUAUUAGGCUGGUACAAAAGUAAUUGCAGGUUUUUGCCAUUAAAAGUAAUUACUUGGCUGGGCACUGUGGCUCAUGCCUGUAAUCCCAGCACUUUGGGAGGCUGAGGCAGGCAGAUCACCUGAGUGUCAGCAGUUUGACGUCAGCCUGGCCAACAUGGUGAAACCCCAUCUCUACUAAAAAUAUAAAAAAUUAGCUGGGUGUGGUGGCAGGCACCUGUAAUCCCAGCUACUUGGAAGAUUGGGACAGGAGAAUCCCAUGAACCCGGGACGCCAAGGUGUCAGUGAGCCGAGAUCCGGCCACUGCACUCCAACCUGGGCAACAGAUAGUCAGAUAACUUUUUCUUCCUCUGUUUUGAGAGGAUCAUACAAUUUUUAUACUUUAUUCUGUUAAUAUGAUGAAGUACACUGAUGUUUCCAAUAGUAAACCUACCCCUUGGUCACAUGCAAUAUUAUCUUCUUGAAAUAUGUCUGUAUUUGUUUUGCUAAUAACUUGCUAAGUAUUUUUACUUGUAUGUUCAUGAAGGCUAUUGGUCCAUUACUGUGUUGUGAUGUCUUAUUCUGGUUUCGCUGUCAAUGGCAUUGUUGGCAGAAUUCAGUGAUUCAGUGCUGUCAAAUCCCUUGUGUUGGAGACAAUUUUAGGAAAGCAGAAGAAAGAAUGUUUCCCCAUGACAGGGGUCAGAGGCCCUAUACUGCAAAUGCAGGAAGCACUGGCUAUGCUGGAAGAAGCUCCUUGUCAUAUUCAUAAUUUCCCAGUGAGAGAGAAGGUAGAAACCGCUCUUGUCUGAGCACACAUGUCAUCCUAAAUGCUACCUGUGAGACCAGCAGGACCUUCCAUGAAAAACGCUUCCACACCAACUACCUCACUGGACAGUCAGGCCUAAUGUAAGAAACUUUUAUUUUUCUAACAAUUCAGGAAAACUGAAAUCAAAGCAGACAUUAAGUUCACAAAUGAUAUAUUAAUCAGGGCUCAGAUAUGGAGAUGAUGAUCAUGAUCAUUAUUAUUGUUAUUAUUAGUUGAGUUGGAGUCUUGCUCUGUUGCCCAGGCUGGAGUGCAGUGGCAUGAUCUUGGCUCACUGCAGCCUCCGCCUCCUGGGUUCAAGCAAUUCUCCUGCCUCAGCCUCCCAAGUAGCUGGGAUUACAGGCACUGGUAUUAGAUGUCUGGCUAAUUUUUGUAUUUUAAGUAGAGAUGGGGUUUCACCAUGUUGACCAGGCUGGCCUCUUUGGCCAGGCUGAUCUCGAACUCCUGACCUUGUGAUUUGCCUACCUCGGCCUCCCAAAGUGCUGCAAUUACAGACAUGAGCCACCGCAUCUGGCUGGAAAUUAUUUAAUGAUAAAACAAAAUAUAAGUUUAUGGGAAGAAGAGAAAGAACUGUUCAUUUUCUUUUAGCAAAUGAAUACAUUUAAGGCUAUAGCUUGGGUCCUGCCUUGCCUGUGGGUUGAGGUGAGCUGUGUCCAGUGUUCCGCUACUCUUGCAAAACAGGACCUAAAUAUUUUGCACACAGACAUUCUUUCUGGCUGCCGGUGAUUUUCCGUGAAAACAUACUUUACUGUAAUUUAGGCAUUACAUUCCUAGUGCCUUUAGUUUUUUUCUUCUUCACGAAUAAUUACAUUGAAAUAUAAAUAAGUUUUCACCUCCUUUACAGGUGUGCAUUUGGGCAGUCCCAGCUACUCAGAAGGCUGAGGAGGGAGGAUCUCUUGAGCCUGAGAAUUCAAGGCUGCAUUGAGCCAUUAUUGCAUCGCUGCACUCCAGCAUGAGCGACAGAGUGAGACCCUGUCUCAAAAAAAAUAGUUAAUUAUUUUCCUUUUGCUUAUACAUAAAUCGUACAUUUUUUUGAUAUUUAAAAACCAUCUGGAGCAAAUCACCUUGUGGCAUGUUAAUGAUGCCUGCUUUAGUACUUGGGCUCACCCAGCUCUGUUUUGUCCUAAACAGCUGCUGGGAUCUUUAUUGUUUUUUAAGCCAUUCGUAUAUUGAUUCUCUUGAUCAUUUCUUUUACCCCUUGUGUAUAAUGGCACAAACCUGCAAAUGUUAGAGAAGACACAUGAAUGGGCAGUUAAAAUAUGUUGAGCAGCGCAGUAACUAUUAAAAGUAGCAUGGCUUUCAAACAGAUGAUGGUUCAUAAAAUUGUGACUUCUUAUUUUUUAAACAGAAAAUGCGAUGAAUUUUAGUGCACUCCCAGGGUGUUCUUGUAAAUGAUAAAAACCAAUGUGUAACAGCGAGUGCAGCCUAACUGAAAGAUUUGCAAAUUCUGUUUAACACAGUGUCGUAGUAUAGGAAACCAGAAAGAAUUGGAAACACAAGUCAGAGAAAGAGACUGCUCCCUGCAACUUUUAGCCACGAGAGUAACAGCAUACAUUUAGACAGAAAAGGUUAUGAGAUUCCAAAAAGUUCAAAGACAGUAUUGAGUUUCAGAGAAUAGUGGGUUAUAACCCAGUCCUUGUUGGUCAGCUGAACCAUAUUAUAAUUGUUUUUCACAUGGAAGAAAGAAGACUUUGCUCUCUUUUUUUUUUUUUGACAGGGUUUCGCUUUUGUUACCCAGGCUGGAGUGCAAUGGCGCAAUCUCGGCUCACCGCAACCUCCGCCUCCUGGGUUCAAGCAAUUCUCCUGCCUCAGCCUCCUGAGUAGCUGGGAUUACAGGCACGUGCUACCGUGCCCAGCUAAUUUUUUGUAUUUUUAGUAGAGAUGGGGUUUCACCAUAUUGACCAGGAUGGUCUCGAUCUCUUGACCUCGUGAUCCACCCGCCUCGGCCUCCCAAAGUGCUGGGAUUACAGGCUUGAGCCACCACGCCCGGCCUCAACUUUGCUCUCUUUUUAAAAACCUGCUGUUGAGCUAUGUUCCAUCUGCCCCAGCUGAUGGUCACAGCCUUGUCCUUAAUGUGAGCAGAGUGAGGAACUGAUCCCCUCACUAGUGUGCAAGCUCUCAGACUUGUUCUUUACUAGAGUAGGCGCAGUCUGAGUGCAGUGAUGAUUUCUCUCUGUGCCCUGAGGGCUGCUCCCUCCACUGCCAGGACAGAUGAUGCAGCCAGCAAACAAAACACACACACAACUUCCUCCCUCAGUGACCCCAACGCCUGACGGCAGAGAUGAAUCACGUUACUCAUGACAAAAGGAUUACUUAAAAGACAAUUGCUUCAAAUUUAAGCAAUUUUUUUUGAGACAGUCUUCGCCUCUGUCUGUGAAGAAAUACGCAGUUGAUUAUGGAGAUUGAUUAAGAAGUAGACUGCAUGAUAUAAGUGUUAUAAGUAAAAUUUCAAUGUCGCAAAAGAAAUAGCACUCGAAGAUACGUCCUCUAAGCAAGACAGUUUACUUCUAUAGAAGGGUGCAGGGCGCACCGAUGGAGCAAUGAUGGCCACCGCAUGC